AUGUUUUAUGGUCAUGCCCCGCUAGUCAAUGAUUUAUUCUUAUUUAAUCUCGAACGUGAUGUUACACAUAUUCAUAGUGUGAAUGCCGAAAGAUGUAAGGUUGAUAAUGAUAGUCCCACAUACUUGUGGCACUGCCGCCUUGGUCACAUUGGUGUCAAACACAUGAAGAAACUCCAUGCAGAUGGACUUUUGGAGUCUCUUGAUUAUGAAUCAUUUGACACGUGCGAACCAUGCCUCAUGGGCAAAAUGACCAAGACUCCAUUCUCCGGAACAAUGGAGCGAGCAACCAACUUAUUGGAAAUCAUACAUACUAAUGUGUGCGGUCCAAUGAGCGUCGAGGCUCGCAGUGGCUAUCGUUAUGUUCUCACCAUCACUGAUGACUUGAGUAGAUAUGUGUAUGUCUACUCAAUGAAACACAAGUCUGAGACCUUUGAAAAGUUCAAGGAAUUUCAGAGUGAGGUUGAGAAUCAAUGUGACAGGAAAAUCAAG
rnacentral:rRNA from 1 species